GAUGAACGCUAGCUACAGGCCUAACACAUGCAAGUCGAGGGGCAGCGGGAAGGAAGCUUGCUUUCUUCGCCGGCGACCGGCGCACGGGUGCGUAACGCGUAUCCAACCUGCCCACCACUUGGGGAUAACCUUGCGAAAGUAAGACUAAUACCCAAUGAUAUCCCACGAAGGCAUCCGAAUGGGAUUAAAGAUUUAUCGGUGAUGGAUGGGGAUGCGUCUGAUUAGUUAGUCGGCGGGGUAACGGCCCACCGAGACGACGAUCAGUAGGGGUUCUGAGAGGAAAGUCCCCCACAUUGGAACUGAGACACGGUCCAAACUCCUACGGGAGGCAGCAGUGAGGAAUAUUGGUCAAUGGGCGGAAGCCUGAACCAGCCAAGUAGCGUGCAGGACGACGGCCCUAUGGGUUGUAAACUGCUUUUAUGCGGGGAUAAAGUGGGCCACGCGUGGCCUUUUGCAGGUACCGCAUGAAUAAGGACCGGCUAAUUCCGUG
rnacentral:rRNA from 1 species